rnacentral:rRNA from 1 species
UACAGAGGUCUCGAGCGUUGUUCGGAUUCAUUGGGCGUAAAGGGUGCGUAGGUGGCGAGGUAAGUCGGAUGUGAAAUCCCGGGGCUCAACCCCGGAACUGCAUUCGAUACUGCCCUGCUAGAGUACUGGAGAGGAGAUUUGGAAUUUACGGUGUAGCAGUGAAAUGCGUAGAUAUCGUAAGGAAGACCAGUGGCGAAGGCGGAUCUCUGGACCUUACCUGACGCUGAGGAGCGAAAGCGUGGGGAGCGAACAGG